rnacentral:tRNA from 1 species
GCCGAUAGGGCUGCAAAUGCAGGCUACUUUGAUAUAGUAGUAUUUAAAGGUUUUACUUUCGUCGGUA